rnacentral:lncRNA from 1 species
AAUAGGGAAAGAACCUCGUCCUGACACCAACUAAGGUCCGACCAUUCGAGACCUGAUAAGAAAGAAGAGAACCUUCUCGACGGCCCUUCUACACUACCGCGACCCCGUAAAAGGCUAGGGAGAACCCCUGCUUAAAAGAAGGAGGGAGAUGUGAAGGAAAAGUGGCGGACUACACCAGCGAAAAAUGAAGGCCAAACUAUACCAACGACACAAAGGACCUCAUCUCCGCGAAGAAGGAGAAAGAGAAAGAGAGAUCUACGAUCACGAACGAAAAGGCGAACCAACGUGGCAAUGGCUGGGAACCUUCGGACGAUGUCGACGUCGAACAAACCAAAAAACACAAGAAAUUCG